GGGGAAUUUUGGACAAUGGGCGCAAGCCUGUUCCAGCCAUGCCGCGUGCGGGAAGAAGGCCUUCGGGUUGUAAACCGCUUUUGUCAGGGAAGAAAUCUUCUGGGUUAAUACCUCGGGAGGAUGACGGUACCUGAAGAAUAAGCACCGGCUAACUACGUGCCAGCAGCCGCGGUAAUACGUAGGGUGCAAGCGUUAAUCGGAAUUACUGGGCGUAAAGCGUGCGCAGGCGGUUGUGCAAGACAGGUGUGAAAUCCCCGGGCUUAACCUGGGAACUGCACUUGUGACUGCACGGCUGGAGUACGGCAGAGGGGGAUGGAAUUCCGCGUGUAGCAGUGAAAUGCGUAGAUAUGCGGAGGAACACCGAUGGCGAAGGCAAUCCCCUGGGCCUGUACUGACGCUCAUGCACGAAAGCGUGGGGAGCAAAC
rnacentral:rRNA from 1 species